rnacentral:lncRNA from 1 species
AUUUGAAUCACUUCUUAUUUGUUUCUAGAAAAUUUAUUUAAUAUUUAAUAUAAUAGUUUUUUUUUGAAGUGGUAAUCGUAUGAGUUUUGUUAAAUAUUUUUUGAACUUUCUUAAACCCAUAUUGCCAACUCCUAUUAUACAUUUAGAGGAGUCCACAACCGCACCCCCAAGGAAUUUGCUCGAGUUGGUUCUCCUCACCUUGUUUCCUCGACGGCCAACUCCACCUACUUCAAUUUUUUUUAGUUUUAAAAAAAUAAAUAUAUCUGAGCUAACAAGGUAUGGAAUCAUACCCGUCCCUCGAGAACGUAACUUAGCAGAUAUCAGAUUUUCUACUAACGGUCUGCUUGAAAUACCACCUUUGUACAUUCAAGAUUCCACUACUACUCUCUUCAAAAACCUUUUGGCGUUGGAGAUGUCCUCCGGUGCUCAAUCCAAGAGUUGCUUCCUGUCUUAUCUCUCGUUCAUGGAUGAGCUCGUUGACACUGACAUGGAUGUGAAGCGACUAGUCGAAGGAGGUGUCUUGAUAACAAAAUUAAAUGACUGCCAAGCGUUGGUGUCUCUCUUGAGCGAUCUUAAUUGCUUCCAGUGUGAGUUUCCAUAACGCCGAAUAUUUCACAUUUGUUUACCAGGGUUUGGAAAAAUAUUGUGCCCACUGGGAUGCAAUAUGCCGGCGGCGGAUAUCUUACAGGGCGAGAUUUGAUAUUAGUAUUACUUUUUUUCUCUUCAUUCUCACACUCAUCCAGACUUAUGUUGCCAUCGUUUCUUACGGGGACUCUGUCUUUCACCAUUGAAGAUUAUAUAUUUUUUUUCAUGGUUGUUUCUUUAGUAAUGUAACUUUAAUUAAUUUGACAGUUGUUUGUCGUGUUACAUGGGUUCUUAUACUAAGCCUACGCAUUUAAUUUUCUUGUUUACUUUUCUUCGAAGUUCCCACGGAUUGUGUGUGUUACCCUAAUUCUAGACAUGCAUAUUAUCUUUGGUUACAUAGUCCGCAUACCUAGGUCCUCGAACUGAGCUCCAGUUCGUGAUCCGCGACUUAGGAGAGAAAUCAAAUGCAAAUCACGAAAUUAAGUCAAGUUUUCAAAUUCAACCAUGAAUUCAUUUGGCCAAUGGUCUGUCCACGUGUUAGAGCUCGCCGUCCGUGAGACACACCGGAACACUUCUCGCAGCCAUGUUUUAAAAAUAUAUUUUUGUUGGUUAUUUUUUUUUUCUAAUUGCACGACAUACUUCACUAAAAGGGUAAAAUUAGUAACCAUCACUUGAGAAAGAGGGUUUAAGAAAAAUCUUAAAAUUAAUAACGGGAGGCAAAGAGUAACGAAGACAGAGUGGAACAAGGAAAAACCAGAGGGCAGAAGAAAAGGAAACAGAGCAGCGAAAUAAAACAGCAAGAUAAAGUAAGCGGAAGCGAGACAGCGUUGAAGGGACGGGAGCGAAAAAAAAACGGUAAGAGAACGGGAUGCGAAGCGAGGGCGAAAUGUACUAUGUGAGGACGGGGCAAAGAGCGAAGUGGGGAAGGAAAGAAGUGCGAUAGAGGAAAGGAGAAAGAGAGCAAAGGAAAAUCAUAGAUCAUGUAAUUUUCUUCUUCUUUGCCUACAAUUAGAUUAAUAUUUAAUUUUAUAUAUAAAAUUUAUACAAUUUUAGAUCUGCUACUAAAAUUGAAUUUUCGAUAACGUUACCCUUAUUAUUUGGCUGAUUAUAUAUACACCCAAAACAUUUCUUUCUAGCCCCAAUUUUGGUUACAAGGACACAAAAAAUGUGAUUGGUUACACUUGAGACAGAGCUUUAGAAAUGGGUUAGUUAUUUUGGCUUCAAAAUUUUUUAUAUUUAGUGAUUUUUUUUAUUUUUUUACGAUAUGAGUUUGGAAAUAUAAAUAACCACUUUUGCUUAAAAAAUUCAUAAAAAUAAUUUAUUUUAUAUUUAGCAAAAAACUUCAUCUUUUGAUUAAAAAAAUUUUACAUUUCCCAUUAGCCUCCUGUUUGAGAAAUUAGAAAAAUAAAAAAUAUAUAAAAAGACAAUAAAAUAAAAAUUAAUGAAAUAUUUAUUUUAAUUAGUUUAAAUUUAGUACCUAUUUUGUAAAUUUUUCUUUCUAGUUGUUCCAUAAAAGAUGAACCAAAAAAGGAAAUAAGUUUUUUGCAAAAGAUGAAAAACGAUUGAUACGCUCGAGUUUGACCUAGUUUUUUUUGAGAUAUUUUUAAAAUUUCAGUUUUUGAAUACGUUCGUCUUAAUUUAAUAAAUUUUGUUAGACUUUUAAUUAACUUUUUAUAUUUUUUAUGUUCUCUUUAUGAGAUGAUCGGAGUUUAAAAUUUUAAGUUUUUUAAUAUAAUUAAAAAUAAAUAAAUAAAAAAAAAGUUAUUUGCAAUCGAUAGUAUAGUUAAAUAUUUUGUCUUUAAUGAUUUUUUUUUAAAAAAAAUUUAAAAUUUUCAAACGGUACUUAAUUACAAGAUUCUGUAGUUAAUUCAUUAAAAACAUAAAAAGGGAGUUAAUAUAUUUUAUUAUUAAAAAGCAAUAGUGCAUUUAGUAUAGAUAUAAUUUUUAGGGUUAUGCGACAGUCACCGCAUUCCAAAAGGACGUUGUUUUGGUUUACCCAAAUAAUUGCUAAACCAAAAUGACGACGUUGCAAUUAUUUGAGUAAAUCCCAAAUGACGUCGUUUUAGUAAAUGCGGUGACAACAGUUUUCCUAAUUUUUAUCUGACUCAUAUUUUUUUGUGCAAAAACUAGUCUUUAACAAUUCCAUAUUUUUUAAAAAUCACCAAAAAGGAUUAAUCGUUGAUAACUACUUUCCCUAUACGCCCAUCGUGUGGCAUGUGCAUUAACCCGCUCGUUUAAAGAUAAGGGCAAGUAGUACUGCCUAGUUUGUGUUUGCGUGAAAGUAUAAACGACUAAAUCUUCUGAAACUUUAAGUUAUUAGAGAGAACGAAUUUUUUUAUUAAAUAUUUUUUCCACUAGAUUUUUGUUAGCUACUCUCAACACAGUUAGGCGGUGCACACGGUUCUGUUGGUCGGUAUGUGUCUAAUCCAACUCGACCCGACCAUCCACGUUUCGAGAAAUUUGGACCCAGAGCCGACCCGACUGUCCCUUGACCCCGACCCCCUCCCCCGACCCGACCUACUUACUCGGUCCAUUCCGAUUCGAUUCGGUUCUUCGAUUCUCGUGUUCGGGUCGGGUCUUUUCAAUUUUUUAGUAAACAUAUUCACUUAUUCUAUUAAAAAGGCAUAAGCAAGUGUGGUAGAAUACCCUAUAAGUUCAUAUAAUAUCGGUUCUAGGCUUCGGUUCUUAGGUCAGGUCGAUGGGUGUCGAUCUUGGGUCGUUUCUACUAUCUACCCUUUGGUUCUCGGGUCGGUUCUGGGGUAAAAAAACCUUAGGGACCCGAAACCGAAUCGAACCGCUCGGGUCUAUAAUUUUUUAGACCCGGAAAUCGACCCAUGACAUGAAAAAAAUGACACAAACCGACCCAAUGAGGUCGGGUCGAAUCGGGUCGGGUGAGUAUUUUUUGCACCCCCAAACACAGUACAAGCAAAAUUUUAAAAUAGUGAAAUAGUGGGGUUCACCCAACCAUUUGCAGGUUUAAAGUUGCUUUUUCUUUUUCUGACUAGUUUUUUUUUUCAAUAUUUCAGGGCUUGGCUUCACUUCUUUUUUCUCUUAUUUUUUUCCCCACCUUUAUUUUAUUUUAUUUUAUUUUUGAAUUUUUUAUUAAUAGUAGAUUUGAAUUAGAGUUUGUAUUAAUACAUGGGUUAACAUGACUUGAAAAUCUUGGAAUUUUAAAUGUAUGUCUCUCUCUCUCCAUAUAACUUGGCUUUCACGUGACCCUGUGUUUUUUUUUAAUAAAUUCCUUAAUUUAAUUAACUUUAUUAAAAUGAGAAUUUGUUCUUAGUAAAUGUUGAACGUAUAGUAGUUGGAUUCCCAACCUGCAUUUGGUUAGUUGGAAUUGAAUAACGCUCUGCUGAACGCUCAUUUCUACUUUAGUUAAUCAACAUACGAGUACAACAUUCUCAAUAGAAUUUUUAUUAUUCUUUUUCAAGGAAUGGUCAUUCUCUAAAUUUUUGAAGAAAUCCAUUUCAUUCUUAUCUUUUGAUUUAUUUUCGCAAUAAAAAAUAUCCACACACCACCACCACCCAAUAAAGAAAAAAAAGCCAAAAAAAAAAAAAAAGCAAAAAUUAUUUUUUUCAGAAAUUGAAAAUAGAAAUAAAAAACAAUAAUAUUUUUUUAUAGAAACUAAAAAAAAAUUAUAUUGUACGAAAAAGAAAAAAAUUAAAAACAAAAGCCCAAAAAUGAUGAAAAAAAAUUAAAGUAAGAGCAAAACCUGAUACAUAUUUUUUUUACACUUUGACCACGAAAACUAAAACAUAUAAUUUUAUUGAGUGGUGAUGAUUCAAAACGUGUCCUUCCUGGCAAAUUCAUGGCCGUUGGAUCAUUUUUCCACUUGGGUUAUUGUAUAAUCAUGAGUCCAAUGCUCCCAAUCUCAUGCAGGUGCUAUCCAAGUCCACAAUCAUUCAAAUUCUAGUGCUUUUUUUUGUUUUUUCUUUUUUUUUCGAGAGAGAGUUAACAGAGAUGAUACCUCUUAUACUUCUGUCCAUAUUUUGUUGUCUUUAACUUAAAAGGACCAUAUGAUAUGACCUUACAAAAAAGUUUCAUUGGAGCUUAAGAUGAUAGGUACAUGCAUAUUUUAAAUCCUAUAUUUUUAAUUGGUUUAGAUUUUAUUUCGUUAUUAAAUAUUUUACAAAUCGGCCAGAUUUUGGUGUUUUUGGUUGGAUAUGUCAAUAAGAAGAGAAUUUGGGAAAGUUUCACGUACAGUUUGACAAAGGAUGGCAAUGUGCAACUUAUAAUUUUAGAAGGGGGAAAUGCAACAUUAAAACAGAAGUUUAGGGUGCAAGCGCAUUAACCCAAUCUAUACUUACAUAAUAGGAAGCAAGUGGGACUAGAAAGUAAUUCCAAGAGUAUUCUAAGUAAUUUUCUAUGGUUUGGUUCAUAAUAACUAUAAGUUGAGUAUAACUCGUAUGGGUUGG